rnacentral:tRNA from 1 species
GUCUAGGUAGCUCAAUUGGUAGAGCGGUGGUCUCCAAAGCCACUGGUUGCAGGUUCAAGUCCUGUCCUAUUCG